GAACGCUGGCGGCAGGCCUAACACAUGCAAGUCGAGCGGAUGAAGGGAGCUUGCUCUCUGAUUCAGCGGCGGACGGGUGAGUAAUGCCUAGGAAUCUGCCUGGUAGUGGGGGACAACGUUUCGAAAGGAACGCUAAUACCGCAUACGUCCUACGGGAGAAAGUGGGGGAUCUUCGGACCUCACGCUAUCAGAUGAGCCUAGGUCGGAUUAGCUAGUAGGUGAGGUAAUGGCUCACCUAGGCGACGAUCCGUAACUGGUCUGAGAGGAUGAUCAGUCACACUGGAACUGAGACACGGUCCAGACUCCUACGGGAGGCAGCAGUGGGGAAUAUUGGACAAUGGGCGAAAGCCUGAUCCAGCCAUGCCGCGUGUGUGAAGAAGGUCUUCGGAUUGUAAAGCACUUUAAGUUGGGAGGAAGGGCAGUAAGUUAAUACCUUGCUGUUUUGACGUUACCAACAGAAUAAGCACCGGCUAACUUCGUGCCAGCAGCCGCGGUAAUACGAAGGGUGCAAGCGUUAAUCGGAAUUACUGGGCGUAAAGCGCGCGUAGGUGGUUUGGUAAGAUGGAUGUGAAAUCCCCGGGCUCAACCUGGGAACUGCAUCCAUAACUGCCUGACUAGAGUACGGUAGAGGGUGGUGGAA
rnacentral:rRNA from 1 species